AAAAAGAAUGGAAGUGGAGGGUUCAUCGAAGAAGAUGAUAGCAACACAAGCAGAGAUGGUGGAGAACAAGGUCCCCAUCCCGUACAGGGAUCAAUGUGCACAUCUUCUCAUCCCGCUCAACAAGUGCCGCCAAGCCGAGUUUUACUUACCUUGGAAAUGCGAGAUUGAACGCCACUCCUAUGAAAAGUGCGAGUACGAGCUCGUCAUGGAGAGGAUGCUGCAGAUGCAGAAGAUCCGUGAAGAAAAGGCCAAGUUGACACAGGCUGGGAAACAGGGCGUUUCUGUUCCUCUCAUUCCCAAAACUGCUAAUGCUUAAGCUGCCUCCAGGGUCAGUCAAAUUUUCUUUUUCUUUCUUUCUUUUUGUUUCAGUUUCUUUUAUAUAUAAUUUAAUAACUGGAUAUUUAUCUAUUGAUGUUUUCGUUCAUAAUUUGUUGAUGGGUUCAUUGAUCUUUGUAUUAAGGGUUGUUUAAGUUCCAAAAUUUUGGGGUAUUUAGCUAGGUUAAAUUUUUGUUUUUUUCUUUCUUAGUUAGCAUGAUGGAUUGGUUUAACUUUUUUAGGGCUUUGUUUUAAUCAAGGUUAGCUGCUAUAUGUUCGAUAGAAUUUUCCUGUCUGCUCUUAUUAUUGAAAUUGAAGCGUUUAACCCUUUCUUUCCCUCUGUUGGAUAUAAGAUUAAAGGAUUUGAGACUCUGUUUCUCCAUUGUCAAUACUUCUGAUGUUUUUACUGGUUUCCUGUUUUCUAUUAAGGGACUUAUUUUCAUUUGGUCUAUUUAUAGUAGGGUGUAGUGAUUUGGGGGUUUAUUUGUUUGGUUCUUGUGGCAUUUGAUUGGAAAGAAAAGGUAAACUGGAAUGUGUCCGUAUCAAUCAGUUUCUGCUUUGGGGUCUUUUUGUCCAUGGAAUUUUGUUUGAUUUAGAAUUUCAUUUUGAAGAUUUUGAAAUUGGUAUUAGGUUGUUCUUGCCUAAUGACUCGAAAUAUGGUGGGGGGAUACUUGUAGUGAGAUUGAGAACAACAUGCAUUCUGGAUAACCCCCCUAGAUGGGUUUGAGUAAGACUAUUAACAAUCAAGUUUUUUUUUGGUCCUUGGUUAUUGAGAUUGCGUAUUAUGCUUUAAGAGUAAUUCGGUAUAUUCUUGAUACUUUUUUCAGUUACCUGUAUGUUCCUGUUUAGUAGGUGUAGCCAAUGGAAAUUUUUUUAUUAUGGUCAGUAUAAGAUAGUCUGAUAGCAGUGUAAAGAAGAAAUAGGAGUUUGACAACAAAGCACUGAGUUCAUACAUGCAGAUGCAUAAAAGUGGAAUAUCCCAGUUAUUUACCAAACAUGAGUUCUGAUUUACCAUUAUUUAGUUUGAUUGUUCUUGCUUGUUCCCCUCAAGUGGUGCUGGUAUCCUAGGAGAUCUGGGCUAGUGAAUAUAAUAAUGUUGCUGUUUUAAAUCCAAGAUAUAGCCUUAUGUUUAGAGCAUGAAAGGAACAUAAUAAAGAGUAAAGAACUUGUAUGCAGCUACCUGUUUGAUGAUGCAUUGUGCUGACAAUAAUCUCUAUGUUGAUGGAAAUGUUUGGUCAAUGUUUGAGAGUACUUUAUAAGUUUAGGGAAUGUAUCAAUUUCUUGACAAUAAUAUUAUAGUAGCAAAAGUCUUGCAGUGAUUACAAGUAUUGGUCGACAUCAGGUUCAGGGUUCAAACCCUAAAUAGCCCCUUCCCCUUCCACUCUUAACAAUUGGCAAAAGAAAAACUUAAUUGAAGGAACAAAUAUGAUAUUUGCAAAUUCUGAAAGCACAAGAAUGUCAUACUCACAACAAUGCCUAGAUUAGAAGCUGAAAUUAGGCACUAGUUAUACUCGUUUCGUUUUUUCACUUGCCUCAGUAUAGUACUCUUAAGUCCUAAGUACAAACUUUACUGAUGUUACUGCAAAAGUCUAUUUCAGCAGCUUUUAGGUACCUUUCCGGUCAUUUAACCGUAUUCACCACUCUUAAUAUCCAUUAGACUGGUAGAUAUUCUCUUCUAAGUAAAAAAGUAAGUCUAACGUGCAAUAUGUUUCCAUGGACAACAAAAUGAAUGAUCCAAAUUUAAGAAUUAUUGACUUUCCCUAGUCCAGAAGGUUCUUUACAUAUAGAAGAAUAAAAAUGGAUGGGUGCAAUGCAAUUUUGUUAUGUUCAGUCUCGAGAUAAUUUAGUUGCUAAUAAUACAUUCCAACAGAUAUUGUUUUUCGAUUUUCAGAUUAAUAUUUUAUUGGGCUUUAGUUUUUGUAAUAUUGCUCUUAAAGCUUUAAUGAUUUUCUUUUUCAUUUGCCAUGAGUUCUGCUUAUAAUACCUUGUUUAAAUACAUGGCAGGAAGGUUUAGACAGCUUUGGUGGAUAUUUGAUGUUUGUCACCUGUCUGGGAGAAAUUUGAAACUGUUUGUUGUGGACGAAUGUAAGGACUCUAUUUCAUUUGUGAUCUGUCAUCAGCUCAUCAACUUUGUUUAUGGAAUAAAGUUGCUCAUCAAAGUGGACAUGUUCUUUUUCAGAUAUAUUUGUAACAAUGGUUUUCACUUACCCAACUAGGUAAAUAUGCUUCAGGUUGGUGUUUAUUUAAUUGCAACAGAUAUACGAUGGAUAUGCUAUUUGAUCAAUGGGGGCAAACAGAUCAUGGCUUUAGCUAACAAGUUUAUAGUUCAAUCACUUCACCAUGUAAUACAUCAAAAAUAAAUGAAAAAAUACACGAUUUCACCGAGUCGAUGGGGGCAUUGAUACAUGUAUAAUGUCUAGAAACCCAAUAAUUCAAUGAUUUUUUAUUUAGAGGAAGUGACCACGACUGAUCAUUCAAAUUUAUUAGACGUUGGGGAAUUCUAUGUGCUUGACAAAGUUAAAGAGCUCGUUUCUAUAAGAACUUUCAAGCUAAGUCAAGGCCUAUUUCUGUAAGAAUUUACGGGUUCGAGCCUAACUCGAUUACUUUUACUCUUUCAAAAAAAAGGCAUAUAGCUUUUCUUUAAGUUUUUCUUAAUGCUUCUUAAAGUUAUCAUAUAUUUUUAUUUCAGUCCCAGCUAAUCAUAUACUAUCAGAUGUCAAAGUGAUGUCAUUAUUCGAAAAACUAUAAAUAAUUUUUAAAAAUUGGAAAAAAAUUAAAAAGUUGGAAAAAAAUUAGUAAAAUUAUUAAAAGUUAAAAGUUAAAAAUAUAUAUAAUAUAAAAAUUUACUAAAUAUUUUAAAAAAUAUAUAUUAAAAAUUUUAAUAUCUUCAAAAUUUUCUAAAUCGCAUUACUAGAUCUUGAAUAUGAAAUUGUUAGCUUUUAGAAGUUAGAAGGAUACCAUCUACAACUACUUUUAUUUCAAUCAAUUGAAAUUUAUAAUUGGUAGAUCUUUUUAGCUUAUAAAUUUGGAUAAUUUUUUUUCAAUUUAUUUAAAUAAUAAAAAUAAUUUUAUUUCAGUUAAAUAAUAAUUAAAAAAAAUAAUUUUAAUUAUUCCAGAUAUUUUUUUACUAUCUCAAGACAAAUAAUUUGUUUGUAGACCAAUAUCUUAAGAACUAUGGUCGAGUCAGGGGCAAAACCAAAAUUUUUUUUAAGGGGUGCCGAAAUUAAAUUGUAAUUUUUACAAUAGUAAAAAUACAAUUUUUAAAAGAAUAAAUCAAAAUUUUAUCAUUUUUAUGGGGACAAAAUACAAUUUUACCUUUACUAAUUUAAAAUUUUAAAAAUUUUAAAGGGUAUAAAUAAAAAAAAUUCUAUUUUAGGGGGGCCGGGGCCCCUACCAGCCCUAUUGGAUUCGCCCUUGGGUCGAGUGUAUAACCAUUCUAAAACACUUUGAUACAAAAUAAAAGGAACAUGUGCAUGAUGAUGGGUGACGGAUGGAAGCUUACUCAAACAUUAAAUAGGUAGUCAAGUCAAACAAACAUGCUGCUAGUAACAUUGGUAUAGUACUAAAAAUUGAUAUACUUUAAGAUAUUAAAAUUUAUUCAAAUUUUAUUAAAAUAUUUUUAAAACAACUUUUUUUAUUAUAAAAAUUGAUUGUAUUACGACAGACAAUUUUUAUAUGAAAUAGUUAAUAUUUUCAAUGUGAUUACAUAAUGUAUACUUUAUUCCAAGUAGCAACAAUUUUUACUAUUUAAAAAAAUUACAAUCUUUUACAAUUUCUAAUAAUUUUUAUAAUUUCUUACAAUAUUUUACAAUUUCUAUUUUUUAAAAUUUUUUUAAAAUUUUUAAAAAUUUUAACAUAUUUUUAAUUUUUAAAUAGUUUUUGUAAUUUUUAUAUUUUUAAAGAUUUUUAGGGUUUUUUUUCAAAUGAUGAUUCAUUGUGAGUCAGCAUAUGUCACGUGGAAAUUUAUGGUUGGUUGGAUAUCCCAACCAUUUUUUAACUUCCAAAGGACUAAACUAGGAACAUUGGAUAACAUUAGGGAUUGAAGUGGUGAAAGAAAAACUUUAAGGAUCAAAGUGGGAAAAAUGGUAUAUGUUACGAACUAAAGUGUAGAUUAAGCCUUUAAAAAUGAAAUUAAAAAUAAUUUUAUAUUAAUAUUUAUAUUCUUUUAUAAUUAAAUUUAAAUAAAAAUAAAUUUAAAAUUAUUUAAUUUUAAUUCGAACAAGCUAGGUUAACUUGAAGUUGAAAAUUUUUUGUCCAACCCAACUCAAAUAGAUUGAAUCAACCAAGUCAGAUGGGCCACUUGGGUCAUGAGUAAGUCUAAUUAGACGAUUCUUGAUGUCAUAAGAAUUAAGUUGGAGGUAGAAUCAAUUAUACUUUCAAAUUUUAAAUUAAUUAAUUAAACCACUUAUUUUUUAAAAAAAUACUAAUAAUAAUUAAAAAUAUUUUUUUAAAAAAAAAUCAAAGAUAAAAAUGAAUCAAACAUGAUAAGAAAAAAUUCAAAAUUUUUUGUUAAAGAAAUAAAAGUUUUAAAAUCUGAUUUCCUAAAUUUUUAACUGAUUGUUUCGAUCUUUAAAUUAUCAGUAUGAAGUUAUUCUAACUUAUUUUAAUUAUAUAUUAUCAGAUAAAUCUCUAAUUUUUAAUUCAAUUAGUAAAUUCGAGUCAUUCUUUACUAUUAAUGAAUCUUUGAACUGAGUAGCUAUCUAAACCAUUAUUGAGUUGAUUUUUCAACUUGGACCUCAUCAAUUUUAUUAGUUUCAAUAUUGUUGUUCACCCAUAUUAUGCUGACUACUAUGGGGCAUAUGUCCUUUAAGAUAUAUUGUCGGAUACUCAAGUCAUUUACUCAUUAAUCACUAGGUAAUAGCUUAUACACUAGAGGCUCUUGAGGGAAUUUAGGUUUCGAGAUAUUGUUUUGGGCUUUUGCUUCCUACUAUCAUAAGUUAAACUUGAAAAUAUUAAAUGUGAUAUGAAUUAGAUACAGAUAAUAUGAAAAAAUAUUAAUAUUUAUAUUACACAUAUUAUUAAUUAACUUAAACUUAUAUAAACAUAAAAUAUUUCAAACAUAUUUUUUUUGCCAACAAAUAUUUCAGACAUGAUUGUAUUAUGAAACUAACAUAAUGUGAUGAGUCUAACGUAGGUGAAGUCAUCGUAGGAUUUAAAUUUUUAAAUAAGGUGUAAUAGUUAGAUUUUUGUUGUUGUAAGAAAAUUAGAAAAAUCAAUAUAUCAAAUAAGUUUUAGUAACUAUUAACCUUGAAAAGUCUUGCAUCCAAAAAGACCAACAAUGCUCCGAAGGUUGCAUGGAAAGUAUAAGCUUGGUUCCUUCCCUCUUGUUAACUUGUGUAUGAAAUCGACAACUCUAUUUGGUUCUCGGAAUGUAUGUUAGAAAACCACAGUCCAUUCUCUUCCACACAGCUCAUCUAUUUGCUUUAUAAUGCCCACAUAGCUUCCCUCUAUGUCCUCAUUCAACCACUACACUAUACUGACACUAUCACUUUUGACAAUGAAAUGCUUAAACCCAAUAAGCCAAGCAAAAUGGAAGCCAUCAAUAAUUGCCCAUAGUUCCACCAUUUCCACGGAGCAUCACCCCAAACUUCUAUUAUAUAAAAAAACCCACAUCCCUUUAUCGUCCCUUAUAACUUUUCCUGCUAAAGCUUGCCUGUUGGCCAAAUUCCAAUACCCAUCUAUGCUAAUUUUAGUGUUGGAUUUAGUGCCAUUAGUGUAGUAUUUUCGUCUAUAUGUACUUGUAUUUUUCAAACAAAUUGGUUUAAUAAAAUAUCCAUCAGUUACAUUAAUAUUUUUUGUAUAUUGUCCUAAAUAGUUUUUUCACGCAAAGCAAAAUGAAAGCAAAUAUUGACUCAAUGAUCAUCUAACAUUUAACUAAUACUAAAUGCUAUUACGUGGUCGGAUCAUAAUACAAAAAGACAACUUAUAUAAUAGAUAAUCUAAACAUGUCCUUAGUCUAAUUGAAAAUGAGCAUCUCUAUCAGAUCCAAUUGGGGAGAUAUCAUGUCUUAGGUAUUAGAGUGAAUGACUCCUAAAAGAUAGAGACAUAGAUGUGACUGACUGGACUAACAGUACAUCGAAUAGGACCCAAGUAGAAUAGAUCCUAAAUUUGUUUAUGAUUUUAUUCACUUGUGACAUUUAUAGUGUGACAUGCAUUAAUCUUGAGAGGAUGAUGGAAUAUUAUACAUGACUCGUAUACUUUGAUGUAAAUGAAAGCCUGAGUUCAAAUAGAAAAGGAAUCGAAAGUUGGUACAUUGGGUAUACAACUUUUGCAGUUCGUAACAUCAUUCAAAAUAGUGGAAUUCAUAACUCAACUAAAGGGUAAAUGAUAUCCUCUUAUUGGCAUUACAUGAUAGAUGAAAACUGAAACAUAGUCAUGAGUCAUUUUUCUUUGUGAUAAAUGAUUUAAUUAUUAUUUGAUAGUAAUUGACUUUUCAUGAAGAAAGAUAUAAUGGUUAACAUGAGAUAAAAUAGGAUCAUAUGGGAAUAACAAAUUUAUCCCAAAGAGAUUAAAUAUAUCCUAUGAGGGUAAAACACUUAUGACAAGGUCAUUGGACAAACACUUAUUGAGUAGCUUUCGUAAUGGUAUAUAAUAAAGGAGAGCUCGGUCACGAUACUUUAGUGGAAUGACUUUGUGAUGCAUGCACGAACGUGGUGAAAUUUGUUAAAUUCCAUUCACCGAAGCUGCCAAUUUUCAAGUUUGGAAAAUCAAUCGACUUCCAAUGACUUUUUGGAUGGGAUCUAGACAUUUCUGGGCUGUAAUGUCUCAUAGGGUUCGAAGAUAUAUCUCUUAGCUUCAAAACUCACUUUGAAUCACUUGAUUUCGAGUUCACGAGCUCAAGUUAUGACCAUUUUAGUGAGACUGCGUAAAUAGAAUUUCUGAUUAUUACGAAAAUUGCAAGUUUCGAGAUUUUAAUUUAGGUUUAUAUUAUAUUUUGUUUGAUUUUUGGCUUAAUUUUUAUUAUAUAUGAGCCUAAUAUUGUAUUUAUUAGGUCUUAUCAUUUCAUUAUUUAUUUAUUAUGAAUUUUGGAUAUAUUGUUUUAAGUAUUUUAAGUUAUUUAGGGAUUUUAUGUUUCUUAGUCAAUAAGAAAGUUUAGAACUACUUAUUUAGAUUAACUAGAGUUUCAAUAUACUUGAGAGUUUUAUUUGGAUGUACUUAGCUAACCUAUAUAAAGGCUUUUUCAUUGUGCACAAUUCAUAAUUCAUUCAGCAACUUCUCUCUUUAAGUUAAUAAAAUUCUCUUUAAGUUUUUUCUCUUCAAGAAUUCCUCUUAAGUUUUCUUUUAGAAGAGUUUUAACAAUCUUUUCAGAUUGUGAGGAUAAACUUCAAGCUUCUUAUUGCCAAGUUUUCUUUCUUGGAGCAGAAACUAGAGUCGUUUGGAGGGGGUUAUAGGUUCAUCUGGCUUAAUUUUUAUAAUAUAUAAGCCUAAUAUUGUAUUUAUUAGGUCUUUUUAUUUCAUUAUUUAUUUAUUAUGAAUUUUGGAUAUAUAUUUUUAAGUAUUUUAAGUUAUUUAGGGGUUUUAUGUUUCUUAGUCAAUAAGAAAGUUUAGUUUAAAACUACUUAUUUAGAUUAAUUAGAGUUUCAGUAUACUUGAGAGUUUUAUUUGAAUGUACUUAGCUAUCUUAUAUAAAGGUUUUUUCAUUGUACACAAUUCAUAAUUCAUCCAACAACUUCUCUCUUUUAAUUUAAUAAAAUUCUAUUUAAGUUUUUCUCUUCAAGAAUUUCUCUUGAGUUUUCUUUUAGAAGAGUUUUAACAAUCUUUUCAGAUUGUGAGGAUAAACUUCAAGCUUUUUAUUGCCAAGUUUUCUUUCUUGGAGGAGAAAUUAGAGUCAUUUGGAGGGAGUUAUGGAUUCAUCUGGUUUCCAAGGCUUUUUUCCAGCAUGUAGAAGUCCUAAGGAGCCUUGGAAACCAGAUGAAUUCAUAACCCUCUUCAAACAACUCUAAUUUUUCCUCCAAGAAAGAAAACUUGACAAGAAAAAGCUUGAAAAUGAUCCCCACAAUCUGGAAAGAUUGUUAAAACUCCUCUAAAAGAAAACUCAAAAAGAAUUUUAUUAACUCAAAAAGAAAAGUUGUUGAAUGAAUUAUGAAAUAUGUACAAUGAUGAAGCCUUUAUAUAGGCUAACUAAGUACAUCCAAAUAAAACUCUCAAGUAUACUGGAACUCUAAUUAAUCUAAAUAAAAAGUAGUUUUAAACUAAACUUUCUUGUUGACUAAAAAACAUUAAACUCCUAAAUAACUUAAAAUACUUAAAAAUAUAUCCAAAAUUUGAAAUAAAUAAUGAAAUAAUACGACCUAAUAAAUACAAUAUUAGGCUCAUAUAUAAUAAAAAUUAAGCCUAAAAAUUGGACCCAAUAUGAUUGAAACUCAAAUUAAAAGCUCGAAACUCGUACUUUUCAUAAUAAUCUCGUUCAGAAAUUAUGUUCGCAUAGUAUUUACUAAAACGGUCAUAACUUGAUCUCCCAAACUCAAAAUUGAGUGAUUCAAUGUGAUUUUCAAAGCUAGGGGAUAGAUCUUUGAACACUAUGAAGACAUCUCAAUUAAGAAAUGCUUGGAUUCAAUCCAAAAGUCAUCACAAAUCGGUUGAUUUUCCAAACUUUAAAAUUGAUAGCUUUAUUGAAUGGAAUCUAAUAAAUUUUACCCUAUCGGUGCAUGUAUCACUUCAUGACUAAAUAAUUUUAUAAUUAAUAGGUGAAAAGUUAGAACUUAAUUAUAAAUUAUUUUAGCCCUAAUUAUUAAUUGGUCUCUCCACUAGCUCGAGAUAACUAGAAACGAAUUACAUGUAGAACCAAUGAAUGAAAAUGAUGAAAUAGGAGAAAUAGAUCGCAUGUAUCACUAUUCGCAGUGAAUGCAUUUUCUCGCUAAGGACAAGAAAUGACUUAGAAAUUAGCUUAAUGUUUUUUAAUUAUAAUUAAAUAAUUGGAGUUCGAAGAUAAAAUUAGAUUAGUCAAGUCAUUAUGAAUUUAUUGAAUAAGGAAAUUAAAUAUAUUUUCUUUAUAGAUUCUAUUACGUUAAAGUUAUUAUGAUUUUAACGGAAUUAUAAUUGAGCUGAGAAAAUUAUUUAAUUGAGAAAUUAAUUUAGUUAAUGUAAUUAGUUAAAUUAAUUGGUCAAAUAAUAUUUUUUUUUAGAUAAUAAAAAUAAAUAUUGGGUUGGAUAAAUUAUAAGUAUUGGAUUAAAAGUCCAGAAAACACAUAUAAUUGGACUAAAUAAAUGAUAGGCCCAAAGUGGAGCUUUGUAUGAGAUACAAUGGGUAGCAACCUUGGUAUUUCUAGGUUGUCGUUACCCCCUACUUCAUUUAGAGUAGAAUUGUAUUUUCUAUUAAAAUAAAUUAUUUAUUUAGAACUUAUUCAAGCAGAACUCUUAUGCAUUUCUUUAUAAAUAAAGACCACCGGUUGACCUAAAUACACACUUGAUAGAUGUCGUUAUUUUGCCAGAAAGUAGUGGUAAUUUAUUUACAAAUAAUGAAAUCAAUUUUCUGGGAAUAUCGAAUAAUUAUCGGUUUAAUAAGAGAAUUUACUUUCCCACAAAAAGUAAAUAAAUUGUUUUCAUUCUGUGACUUGGUUUGUGUUGCUUGAGCCUGCACACGAGGCAAUUUGUGGUUCGAGGAUAGCGAAGAAGGUUGUUCAGUUGAAAAUAAGGAUAAACUUUAGUCCCCAUCGCACAAAGUACAUCUACAUCUACAUCUCAGUUAUGGUUUAUUGUUAUAAAUAACAUAACAGACUCGGUUUAAGAAAAAUUGUAAACUUGCGUUAUAGCUAAAAUAAUUGUUUUUUUAACCGAAUUUUCCAACUUUUGAUCGAUCCAAGGUUUGGUUUCAUCCACUUGUUAUCUUCAUUGUUUCAAUUAAAGGGUCCUUUGCCUCUACUAUUGGUAGCAUUGAAACAAAUAGUCUAGCUUCGAUAAUACAACAAGCUGAAACACUUAUACAUUGCCUUGUUGGAAAAUAUAGUUGUUCUAUUGCUCCCAUAAUUUCUAGCAACGAAUAGAAAAAAAUAUUUCCCAAUAAAACUCAUAAAAAACAAAAGAGAUAAAGAAUUUUGAAGGUUUGAGCAAAUCCAAUCAUUCAGAGACAAUGAAAAGAACCUAUCAUGUUCAGAAUUAAGGAUUACUUGGGUCUGGACAGAUCUCGUUAUAUUGCAGUCCUUAAGAACAUGGAUGAUAUCCUUAAUUGGUACACCAUACAUCAAGAAACUAUUUGACCUAGCUAGUCCCCUCUGACAUCUUUCGACAUUAGUUAUAAUUCUAUUAUGAAAAGCUAGCGAUAGGAAUUGCUAAGCUCUUUACAAAAUAGGUGAUUUCCAAAGCAACUCCCAUUUGCUAGACUUUGGCUUCCAUUAAUGCUUAGCUUUGAAUCUAUAAGUUUAUAUAGUGGUCAACUUACCAUUAAUAGAUAUUGACCAAACACAUUGGUCCUCUUUACCAUGCGCAUUCAACUAUCGUAUACUUGCAAUUUGCAUUAUGAGGGAAUCAUCCAACAUGCCUUUAAUUCUUAACCAAUCCCAACCACGAUGGUUAUUGACAUUUCUCGAACCAAUAUUCAUUGCAUCGUAUUAGAGCAUAGAAAGCAAUAAAACUUUAAUGGCCCAAAAUUACGAACCCAAGAAUCCAUCCAGAAACUAACUUUCGACCCAUUCCCAAUAGACCAAAUCAAUGUUUCUCUAAGCAUAUCAUAUAUUCUCAUAAUCGAAUGCCAAAAAUACAUGGGAAGAAUUGCUUCUCUUUAUAUCGAGAAGGCAUCCAACACUAAACUUAUAAUUUGAUUUAAGCACUCUAACCCACAAAGUUGCGUUAUUAUUUACAAGCUUGAAUCCAAGCUUUAGCAAGAGUGAAUCAUUCAAAUCUUUUAAUUUCCUUAGUCUUAAAACCCUAUUUGUAGUAGAUCGACAUAAUGUAUUCCAUGCCACAAGAAGCUUUUAGAUUAUCUUCUAAUGACCUUCAAAUAAAUCUUCGAAUAACCUUUUCAAUCUCUUCACAUUUGCCCUUCAUAACCUUGGUUGUUUGCAUAAAAUAGUUAGCAAUAAAGAGUAACACUAAUUUAGCUAAAGUAACUUUACCCGCUAAAGAUAAGAGAUGAGCAUUCUGACCAUUGAGCUUUUGACAAACUUUAUCCAGCACAAAGGAAAAAAAAAACCUCUUCAUAAAUCUUUGAUGGAAAAGUGGCACUCUCAAAUACUUGCCAAGAUCCUUCACCUAUCGAAAACUCAAUCUAGCACUUAAAGAAAUGACAACUUCUUCUAAAUUAUUAUUAGAGAAGAAACUCACUUUUAUGACCUGAUUUGAUGUAGAAUUGGUCUAAAAUUCUAUGGAUGAGUGAAGCAUGAUCCAAAUCCUCUAUACCCAAAAGCACUAAGUUGUUAGCAAAAUAUAAAUGGGACAAAGGAGGCCCAUUCAUCACAAGUCUAAUUGGUUUCCAUGACACACCCUCUAUAAUCGAACUAAUGUACAAGCCCAAUUUCUCCAUACCAAGGACAAAUAAGUAUGGUGAGACAGAAUCACCCUAGUGUAAUCCUCUAGAAUGUAUGAAGGUUGUCAUCGAUGACCAAUUCUAAAGAACCUACAUAGACAAAGGUGAAACACAAUACAUGAUAGGACAAUGCAGUUUAACAAGAAUACCAAUGUCAAACAAACACUCAUCCAAGAAAUCCCAAUGCAUGUGGUCAUGUCUUCUCCAAAUCAACUUUAAUAGUCAUCCAAGCAACAUUGCCUUUCUUGACUCACAUUGAAUGAACAACUUCUUCUACUAUCAUUGUUAUUAUCAGAGAUAUGCUUCCCUAAAAUGAAGCUUACUUGAUUCGAAGCUAUAAGAUUAGGAAGGAAUUUGUGAAGUCUAAUUAGCAAUCACUUUUGUCAGGAUUUUGUACAGCACAUUACAUAAACUAAUGGAACAAAAUUUAAAAAUCUAUAAUAUGCGAAAAAGGAUAUAACUUACUCAUCACUCAUAAAUAGCAACUUGUUCAUCUAAGUAUACAAACUUUAAAUUUGAUAUCAUUUAAUCUAAAACUUUAAACUUGUACAUAAGCCUCAAAUGGAAUUGACUUUCAACCGAUGUUAACAAUAAUUUUAUUUGUGAUAUUUUUAUGUAUUUUUUUCAUGAAAGAAAACAAACUUGAAAUUCUAACCAUUUAUGUGUGGAGGAUUUGUUGUUCGCUUUGAAAAAAUAGGAAAAGGUUUUACCAAAUCAAUCGGUUACAAGUUAAUACCAAAAUUUGUAAUGCAAUACCAAUAUCUCCAAUGGAAAUUGUUAGAUAUUUUACUAUACCAAAAUUUUCCUUUUCCUACUUGUGUGUGGGGACCAAUAACAUGUACCAAAACUUUCUAAUGUUAUACCAAUAUUCUAAUGCAUACCAAAAUUUCCAAGGGAUGUCGUUAGAUAUUUUGAUAUACCAAAUUUUAUAACGUAACCAAAAUCUUUAACAGAUACCAAAAUUUGUAACCAAAUACCAAAAUUUCUAAUGAUACCACCAAAAUUUCUAUCGUAUACUAAUAUUUCUAAUGGAAAUCAUUAGAUAUUUUGGUAUGCCAAAAUUUUCCUUUGCCUGCUAAUGUAUGAGGACCAAUAACUUGUACCAAAAUUUCUAACAUUAUACCAAUAUGUUGGAUUGUCGGUACACGCUUUGGUGUGGAAGAAAAAUUAUUCUAGAAAUCACAACCAAGGAUCCAUGUACGAGGAAUGAACACGAGUUUAAGAAAUAUUGAAAAUAUACCUUUAAUAAUUUGGAAACAAGUAUAGUACCAAGGGGAUCCUUCUGCCUGUCUCGCAAGCCACAAUCACAAUGUAAAGUCCUGGCCUCUAUGUGACUCACCUGGAAGAGAAUGACAAGAAAGUUCUUUGAACUAUUUAGAGGAAAAACAAAAUUUUUUCUUUUUGCUAGUAAAGAUAGAUUUCGGGUGAAAACAAAAACUAAUAUUAAGCAUUUUUCAAAAACAAGUUUUAAUUGCCUUGAAACUCUUAAAGGGAAAAUAAGAUAUAUCUUUUAACCCUUCAACCAAUUUUUUUAUUAAAUACAAUAUUUAAUAAAUUUAAUUAGGCAGGCUUAUAAAAUUAAAUUAUAUGAAACACAUUUUUCAUAUUAUUUUAAUUGAGUUCUAUAUAUACAUAUGCUUCAAGUAUGUACAUAUAUUAUGUUUAAUUUUAACAUUUUUAAAUUAAAUUAAUUAUUAGAACAUUUCUAUAAUCAAUUUAACUUUUGUGACAUUUUAAACAUAGUCUCAACUUUCAUUACAUUUUGAUUGUCUCAACCAAAGGGUGUGACCUAUAGGAUUCUAUAACGUUAGCAAUAACAUUGAAAAGAUUAUAAUUUUACAAAUAGUGAGUGACAUCUAGCAAUGCAUCAUUGCUACCCAAGUCACAAGAAGUCAUGGUUCAACAUGGUUUUCUGUGACAAUAUUAUUACGUGUAACAUCCCUUUGUCCUUUAUAUCUAUAUUGAACACAAGUCAUGAAAUAGUCAAACUUGUAUGGUCUAAUCUCUUAUUUCUUGAUUCCCGUGUAGGCUAAGAUAAACAAAUAAGUGUGAUAUAUCAUAUAAACUAAUUUGAGCAUGGUCAUGUAUUUUUUGUCUCAUUUGAUCAAGAGGCCUAAGAUAUGUCUCUCAUUAUGUAAGAGGGAUAAAUCCUAUCUUGAUCAAUCACAUCUCACUACAUAGAUUAUGGCACACCCAACAUUAGUCCUUAAAGUACAACCAUUUACGGAAGAGGUUUGAUUGUGUCAAAGCAUAUGACUCAAGAUGUUGGAAUAAUGAUGAUCACAAGUCUUAGAAUCAUACAUAUAAUUAUCACUAUGAGAAAUAUUAUGACUAUUACAUAAUAAUCCAAGAAAUAUUCUCAUGGCAGGUCAGUCCAAUACGUUGUUCUCAAACAUGUACUUAUGCAUUGACUUUGACAUGUUGGGAAAUGUGUUCGCAUGGUAGUAAACAUGUAGUUGUUUUAUAUUUAUUUGAACGAUGAAUAAAUAAAAAAAUUAAUUUCACAUUUCACUAUAUUUUGUGUUUGUCUUUCAUGUUUUGCAUACAUAGCGAAAUUGUGAUAAGCAAAUGUUAACUCAUUGAUUUAUCUAAGUUCAAGCUGAUAAUAAUUGGCAUUGUAAGAAGGUUUACAUUGCGAGAAAGACAACUUACUUCAAUAGAUAAUCUAAACGAGUUCGUAAUCCCGUAAAAGAAUCAAAGUGAACAUUUGAUUCAAAUACUCAGAAGGAUUAUUAUAUCAUCUACAAUUCCAAUUAGAAAGAUGACUAAUCUUGGCUAUCGGAGUAGUUGACUCCAUGGGUAGAGAUAUUAAUGUACUCAUUGGAAGAAUGAUACAUUGGCCUGGACCCAAGUUGAAUUAGUAUUGAAUCCGUUUGUGAAUUAAUUCACUUAUGAUAUUCAUAGUCUGACUUACCUAAAUCCUGAGCUAGUCAUUGACCAUUCGUGUAUAACCCAUAUGAAUUGAUAUAAGUGGAGGCUUAUGCUCUAAAGAUGAUCGAGUCGAUAGCAGUUAUGUUGGGUACAUGACUUAUGUAUGGCAUGGUUUUACUAGAAAUAAUGGAAUUUAUAGCUCGAUUAAAGAGUUAACGAUAUCCUCUCAUUGAAUUUGUGUGGAUUGAUAAAUAUGGAAUGUGGCCAUGAGUUGCUUGUUCUCAAAUGAGCAAUUUAUCACAGUCAUUAGUUGACAGCGGUCAUAUUAAUUAUUAAGAAGACACAAUGGUGACAAUGAGAUAAAACAAGAUUGCAUUAAGUGAACAAAUUUAACUCAAGAAAUCAAGGAUAUCAUAUGAGGGUAACACACAUAUGGCGAAGUCAAUGGACAAAGCAAUUGGAUGAAUUGCUUUCAUAAAGAGUAUACAAUAAGGAGUUUUCAAUCAUGAUACUUCUUGUGAACUAACUUUAUAGUUAAGUAAAUUUCAAAUUAUCAGAUCGAUACUUCCAGACAUAAUUGCAAUUAACUUGAGCUUAAUUGUAUAUGUCCAAUUGGUCCAUUCGCUAGAGUGACAAAAGCUCAAUUAGACUACAUUUGAAUCAAAAGAAAAUUAUACGACUUUGAGAAUAAUUUAAUUGAGUCGAUUUAUUCAAUGUGGAAUUAAAUUAGGUGGUCAUGAGAAUUAUUCAACUAGAGAAUUUGGUUAAAGAAUUUUCUUGAAAAAUUAAUUUGGAAAAUCUCAGUGAUUUUUGGGAAAAUUAAUUUUGAUCAAGUGAAAUUAAAUUAAUCAAGUUAAUUAAAAUAACUAUGAUAUUUUUUGAAAUUAACUUUCAAGUCAGACAAUUAGCCCAAUGAGUAAUUGAACUUAAAAAUUGGACCCAAAAUAAAAAAUUGAACCCGAGAAUCAAAACUUGAGACUGAAAACCAAAAAUUGGUCAAAUCGGGCUCUAUGUAUGAAACUGGAUCGAUGAUCCAGCCGAUGGCUAGAUCGAACCGGUUGGGCUGUCACUGGCCUGAACCGAAUCGAUAGCAGCCAAAUUGGUCAAGCCCAUUUGGGAAAAACAAAAAUAGUUCAGGGUGCUGGGGGAGUCGUGCCAGUGAUGGCACCGCCAAGCACGACGACUACGACAACGACGAUCCAACAAUCGACAGAUGGUCGGCGGUGACGGUUCUUCGGUGGUAGUGUGGUGGAAAAAUUAGACUCAUAAUAGGACUCUAUCGGGUAACUUGAUUUCAAAUUAACUUUUCCAAAGAUAAUAUUAUUUUAAUGAAUUUAAUAUUAAAUUAAAUUUAAUAUCCCAUAUUAUUAAAUUUAAUUUAAUAUUUAUCUAUAUAAUAUUUUAUUAAUUUAAUAUUAAUGUGAUUAAUUCUAAUCCUAGUUAAACUCUCUCUAAACUCUCCCUAUAUAAAAAGAGCAUGGGUCAUUAUUCUCAUACACUUGAAUUCAAGAAAAUUUGUAGAGAGAAAAUUCUCUAAAGAAAUGAUUUCAGAAAAUUUCUAGAGAUAUUCUUGUUAUUUACAACUUGACCCCAUAAGUUUAGAAAAAUUACGAAAUUACUCCACUAGUAAUUUUGGAAAAUUUUUUUUAAUUUGAAGCGAGCUCACACUUGGCAAACGUGUGCUUGAGGAUAACGGGGAAGACUACUCGGUUGAAAUGUUCAUCCUAGACGAAUCAUAAAGGUACGGUUUUGAUAAAGUGUUUAUUAUUUUAGAUAACACAAUCAAGUUCUUGUUUUUGGAAAAAGAAUUUAAAAUUCUAGUUUUCCCUUAAACCUAUUUUCCAUUGCAUUUUCCGAACUCGAUCUUCCAACAUGACAUCCCUAUGUCAAUGACAACAUUUUGUCAUCAAUCAACUACAUAUCAGUCUCAAUGUAUUAUUAUUGCUUAAGCUCGCAAUAAUACUUGAUUAAGGACAUUUAAGAAUAAUCACAUUAUUCUUAGGACUAAAAUAAUAAUGGCAAUGUCUUUUAUUAAUAAACUAGGUAAACAAGUAUGUGAUUACAAUCAUCGCAUGAUUAGUCUUCCGGCAUACUCCAAUAUAAUAUUGUUGAAAAAUUUGUUUAUGAGAACGAUUUUGUUGCAUAGAGAAAUUUCAAAAACUUUUAUAAAACUUGAACCUUUGUUGUGAUAUCUAUGGCUAUAUAUUUUACCAAACAUAAUACCUACUUUAUUGGACUAGCGAAAUUUGUUGGUUCUUGGCUUUCAAGCAAAUGAUUUUCUCAGCCAUCCUAAACCCUUAAUUACUAAGGAGUGGGCUAUUAUCACAAACCGAUCACGGAAGAAGAACUAAAACUUUCUAGUGGAGAAAGUUCACUCUUUCUAUGGGAAAUCAAACCGAAAUUAAUGACUCGAGUACUCAUGAAAUAUAGAAUUCAUUUUGUAGCUAAAUAAAUUUUCCUAAAUUUCGACAAAGUACCUCAUCUUAGAAGUGUGUAUCUUCAGUUACCCCAUAGUCACUUUAUAUAGAGAAAAAUAUGAGUUCUACUUGAACAAGAAGAGAAGAAAAGUAAUAUUUUAAUAGAAAACCAAAAUCCUACUAGGAGUUAUAGGAGUUAAUGCACUAGACAACACAUGCUAGGUUUCCCAAACCUAGUGUGCCUCCCACCCCUAGUGUUAUUGGGCUCAUUUAACCAUUCAUGUAUUUAGUAAAAUUAUAUGUGUAGGUCCAUUUUAAUUAAAACAAGCUCAUAUAAUUAUCCAACCCAAUAACUAGUUUUCUAUUCCUAAAAUAUUAUUUAUUCAACUAAUUAAUUCAAUAAAAUAAUAAUUUGGGAAUAGAAAUUGAUUAUUAGGUUGGAUAACUAUAUGAGCCUGUUUUAAUAAAAAACUAGAUUGUAAAUACAAUUAUACCCAAUACAAUAAAAUGCCCAAAAAGCUCAUCUUACUAAACGGGUGGGCGGCACAUUGAGUAAUCCUAGUAAGGGUGUGUUGCCUACCACAAGCACUCUUAGUAGGAGUAUGAGUUUUCUAUUAAAAUAUUAUUUAUCCCUCUUCUUGUUCAAGUAGAGCUCUUGCAUUUUUUUUCUCUAUACAAAGGAAUCAUGGGAAGUUGAAAUACAAACACUCAUCGAUACGUGGUUAUUUUAUUAUUUUAUUAAAAUUUAGGGAAAUUUAUUAGCUACAAAUAAAUUUUAAAUUUUGUUAGCACUUGAGUUUUUCGAUUUUGGUUAUUAAGAAGAGAAUUUAUUUUUUCAUUGGAAAAAUUAAAGUUUUCGUAUUGUGAUCGAUUUAGGACUAGGAGCCCUCUCUUUGCAACUAAAGGUAAGAGAAUAACGGAGAAGGUUGAUUGGUAGAAAGUUAGAAAAUCGACAGAUCGCACUAGACCAAAAUGCAUAUAUUAAAUUUGGUAAAAUUUAUUGCCAUGGAUAACACAACAAAGGUUUAGUUUUAUGAAAAUUUUUAAAAUUUUCGUUGUGAAAUAAAACUCGUUUUCGUAACUAAUUUUUCCAUCAAUUGGCAUCAUACCAGGUUGUGUUAUGUUGUAAAUUUAUUAUCGAAUUACCUCGUCUCUCUAUUGUUUGAUUAAAUUGAUAGAAAGUGACAUUAUUAUCUUAUGCGUGCUUUUGGAUUGUAUAUGUGAAUGGAUGUUUAUAGAUGUUAUAAAAAAUUUUAAUUAUUAAUUUUGCUAAAGUUGUGGUUUAUAAAAUUAGAUUGGGUAUAUUUUAGGUUAAAUUUUUUAUCAUGUAAUUAGAUCGUAAACUAUCAUCUCCAUAUAGGUUUUUUAUUUUUCCUUAAAAUAAAAAGUCUUGUGAGUUGGAAACAGACUAAGGUUUAUGUAACCAAUUACAAACCAGAGACCUCGAAGUAGAUUAGACGGAAAAAUGGAUGAACAGUUGAAGAAGGAGAAGUUGGCGUUGUGGACAAUAGUCGGAGCAUCGCAAUUGUUGAGGCGAUGCGAGGGGCAUCGCACCCCAUUGUGUGAGCUAGGCACACAGCAUCGGCCGAGGCCUCGUGCCUUAGCAGAGCAGUCUUGCGAGGCUACUGCGUGAGAGCAAGGGCAUCACACCCUAACAACAUGCAAAAGGUGCCAAGGAUGGCCGAGGCAUCGCACCCCUGUCCGGCAUCCAUGCACGUAGCAAGUUGCUCUUAAUAGUUACAUAUUUUAUCAAUUUAAUCUUAAUUCUAAAAAAAAUCAACAAAAUUAAUCUCUAAUAUUACACGUUUACACAAAGAGUCUUACUUAGCUGACCGUUCGUCAUUUCCUACAUGAUUAACGAACAAAUAUCAACCACAUAAAAUGUUGAUUUGAAAUGGCUACUUAAAUAGCCAGUUUUGUUAAUCUCCCCCCCCCCCCCAACCCCCUUUUAUUAAAGAAGUAUAUAUUGUCUGGAUUUUAGCAUUGGGAGUCUGACACUGCACUCUCCUUUCUCAAGCAAAACUAAUCUAAAGCAAACAUCAACCUUCACUUUUUUCUCUCUAAAACUUCCUUCCUUAAACCACUACUUGUCUUAUUAUUUGAUCAAUAUUUCAUAACCUUCAUUAAAAAUCCAAUCAUACUAGCCAAAAUGGAAGCAUUGGGAAAAGGCACGAGGAGCGAGGUAAUUAUGGUGCUCGAAUAUGGUCUUGUUACCUGGGUUUGGGUCUUUGGUUCAGUAUGCUAGAGAGGGGGUGAGAAUUAAGGGUAUAUUAUGUUGGAGCCAACGGUCAAUGAAACGACAUUAAAAAUUGUAAAAUAAACAAAAAAAAAAAACUUGGAACAAUGGCGGUCACAAACCCAUAAAUUAUAACAGAAAGCGGGAAAGGGUUAUAAUUCACAUUGUGUAUUAUGCCUUGGUAAUGCAACAAGUGAAUGUAGAACUCGGAGGGGGUGCUCAAUACCCAAACUCUCAGAACAAAUGAAAUUGUAGUCUUUCUAAAUUUAAACACAAAAUUUAUCCAAAUUGAAAAAAUAUGUAAAUUUUGUUAUUACAUCAAUUGAAAUUAUGCACAAUUGAUAAAAAAUAUUAACAUUACAAUUAAUUAUCUUUAAAUGCUUAUUUACUUUUGAAAUUAAUAGAGAUUAAACUGUUCCUAAUUUAGACGGAUUAAAAAGUCUUUUUAACCAUAAUAUAAUAUAUAUUAUAAAAUUAAAAAAAAAAUUCAACCGAGCGAAACUCAAAUCAUAUUUUAAAUGGAAUUAGUUUUUUUUUUAGGCCCAUUUUGGGCAUAAUAGUUUUGCGCCCAACCCUUCCACCUUUGGGCGUACAAAGAAAAGCUAAGCUAGCCGAUAAUUACCUUGGAGUUGGACUCGGAGAUCAAGCAAAGCAUUUUCAUAACCCAAUUUUUUUUCUUCAAACACAAAUCAAAGGGAGAAAAAAGAAUGGCAGUGGAGGGUUCAUCGAAGAAGAUGAUAGCAACACAAGCAGAGAUGGUGGAGAACAAGGUCCCCAUCCCGUACAGGGAUCAAUGUGCACAUCUUCUCAUCCCGCUCAACAAGUGCCGCCAAGCCGAGUUUUACUUACCUUGGAAAUGCGAGAUUGAACGCCACUCCUAUGAAAAGUGCGAGUACGAGCUCGUCAUGGAGAGGAUGUUGCAGAUGCAGAAGAUCCGUGAAGAAGAGGCCAGGUUGAAACAGGCUGGGAAACAGGGCGCUUCUGUUCCUCUCAUUCCCAAAACUGCUAAUGCUUAAGCUGUCUCCAGGGUCAGUCAAAUUUUCUUUUCUUUCUUUCUUUUUCUUUCAGUUUCUUUUAUAUAUAAUUUAAUAACUGGAUAUUUAUCUAUUGAUGUUUUCGUUCAUAGUUUGUUGAUGGGUUCAUUGAUCUUUGUAUUGAGGGCUGUUUAAGUUCCAAAAUUUUGGGGUUU
rnacentral:lncRNA from 1 species